rnacentral:lncRNA from 1 species
UCCGACCACCAUCCGGCCACCUCUGCAUCUCCAACCAUCAUCAAUGUCCGACCCCACCUCCCAACCACCUCUGCGACGUCCGACACCACUCUAACCACCAGCGACCCACCACAGACCAUCACUGUUUGUUUGUAAUUUGACCUACUCUGGUAUGUACAUUGCCGAUUUGGGACUCUAAAAGUUGUAAUGCUUAAUUCUCAAAUCAUAUACGAGCCAUAUGGUCCCAGUGAGCCCAUCUCCUUUUUAUGAAGGUGGUUUACAAAUAGUGGACGGAGAAGAACAAAAGAUGAUAUCUUUCUAGAGGUUGCACCUUGCUCCUUAUUACCAAAUUCAUGGAAGCUUACAUGCUGCAUUUUCUACACAUGAGUAGUACUCAUAGUUAUUUUGAUCUGUUCGAUGAUCCCUACUUCCUUGCAGCUAAGUUUAUCAUUAUGUUUGUAGAAAGUAUAAUACAAUGAUAUUUUGACUUGACGCUUCUCUUUGGAUUUACAUGCAGCUAAAGAAUCCUAUGCUAUUGCCCAAUUGCGAAAAUCUGGUUACUAAAAAAAAAAUUCUACAUGGAGGCUGUAAACUUAUAUAAAGUGGUACACAUCUUAUUAGAGGCGUCUAUUAUUUUGUCGAAAGAAUAACUUAUUAUUGAUGAUUAGCAUAGUCUGUUGGUUAUUAUUAUUUGGGCUUUUAUGGUCAUUCACAAUAGCGAUGACACACCCUUUUUAGCGACGACAGGCGACCAAUAGCGGCCGAGCUAUAGCGACGACAUGUCGCCGCUAAAAGUCAAUAGCGGCGACAAAAAGGACUUUUAGCGGCGACACGUGUCGUCGCUAAAAGUACAUGUUUCUUGUAGU